GAUGAACGCUGGCGGCGUGCCUAAUACAUGCAAGUCGAGCGAACGGACGAGAAGCUUGCUUCUCUGAUGUUAGCGGCGGACGGGUGAGUAACACGUGGAUAACCUACCUAUAAGACUGGGAUAACUUCGGGAAACCGGAGCUAAUACCGGAUGAUAUUUUGAACCGCAUGGUUCAAAAGUGAAAGACGGUCUUGCUGUCACUUAUAGCUGGAUCCGCGCUGCAUUAGCUAGUUGGUAAGGUAACGGCUUACCAAGGCAACGAUGCAUAGCCGACCUGAGAGGGUGAUCGGCCACACGGGAACUGAGACACGGUCCAGACUCCUACGGGAGGCAGCAGUAGGGAAUCUGCCGCAAUGGGCGAAAGCCUGACGGAGCAACGCCGCGUGAGUGAUGAAGGUCUUCGGAUCGUAAAACUCUGUUAUUAGGGAAGAACAUAUGUGUAAGUAACUGUGCACAUCUUGACGGUACCUAAUCAGAAAGCCACGGCUAACUACGUG
rnacentral:rRNA from 1 species